rnacentral:rRNA from 1 species
UACGUAGGGGGCGAGCGUUGUCCGGAUUUAUUGGGCGUAAAGAGCUCGUAGGCGGUUUGGUAAGUCGGGUGUGAAAUCUCCACGCUCAACGUGGAGGGGCCACUCGAUACUGCCAUGACUCGAGUCCGGUAGAGGAGUGUGGAAUUCCCGGUGUAGCGGUGAAAUGCGCAGAUAUCGGGAAGAACACCAACGGCGAAGGCAGCUCGCUGGGACGGUACUGACGCUGAGACGCGAAAGCGUGGGGAGCGAACAGG